GACGAACGCUGGCGGCGUGCCUAAUACAUGCAAGUUGAGCGAUGAAGAUUGGUGCUUGCACCAAUUUGAAGAGCAGCGAACGGGUGAGUAACGCGUGGGGAAUCUGCCUUUGAGCGGGGGACAACAUUUGGAAACGAAUGCUAAUACCGCAUAACAACUUUAAACAUAAGUUUUAAGUUUGAAAGAUGCAAUUGCAUCACUCAAAGAUGAUCCCGCGUUGUAUUAGCUAGUUGGUGAGGUAAAGGCUCACCAAGGCGAUGAUACAUAGCCGACCUGAGAGGGUGAUCGGCCACAUUGGGACUGAGACACGGCCCAAACUCCUACGGGAGGCAGCAGUAGGGAAUCUUCGGCAAUGGACGAAAGUCUGACCGAGCAACGCCGCGUGAGUGAAGAAGGUUUUCGGAUCGUAAAACUCUGUUGGUAGAGAAGAACAUUGGUGAGAGUGGAAAGCUCAUCAAGUGACGGUAACUACCCAGAAAGGGACGGCUAACUACGU
rnacentral:rRNA from 1 species